AUUGAACGCUGGCGGCAGGCCUAACACAUGCAAGUCGAACGGUAACAGGAAGCAGCUUGCUGCUUCGCUGACGAGUGGCGGACGGGUGAGUCAUGUCUGGGAAGCUGCCUGAUGGAGGGGGAUAACUACUGGAAACGGUAGCUAAUACCGCAUAAUGUCGCAAGACCAAAGAGGGGGACCUUCUGGCCUCUUGCCAUCGGAUGUGCCCAGAUGGGAUUCGCUUGUUGGUGGGGUAACGGGUCACCAAGGCGACGAUCCCUAGCUGGUCUGAGAGGAGGACAGGCCACACGGGAGGUGAGACACGGACCAGACUCCUACGGGAGGCAGCAGUGGGGAAUAGUACACAGUGGGCGCGAGCCUGAUGCAGCCAUGCCGCGUGUAUGAAGAAGGCGUUCGGGUUGUAAAGUACUUUCAGCGGGGAGGAAGGGAGUAAAGUUAAUACCUUUGCUCAUUGACGUUACCCGGAGAAGAAGCACCGGCUAACUCCGUG
rnacentral:rRNA from 1 species